UACGUAGGUGACAAGCGUUGUCCGGAUUUACUGGGCGUAAAGAGCGCGCAGGCGGUCGAUCAAGUCGCGUGUGAAAGCCCCCGGCUCAACUGGGGAGGGUCACGCGAUACUGAUCGACUCGAAGGCAGGAGAGGGUAGUGGAAUUCCCGGUGUAGUGGUGAAUGCGUAGAUAAUCUGGAGGAACACCGGUGGCGAAGGCGGCGAUCCUGGACCGGCAUUGACGCGUGAGGCGCGAAAGCUA
rnacentral:rRNA from 1 species